CGCGUCGCCUAUGGAAGCUCUCUGGGUCACGGUCGCGUGGGUCCCACACCUGCAGGAGCCACCCCCAUCCCCGUAACUAAAGGCUGCGUCCACUGGGUGCACGCACGUCUCACCAUGUCUAGCUAGAAGUCCACCCCGCACUCUAUAAGUAUGUUGCUGGCGUCCUCCUUCGACCAGAGGCUAGAACUAGGCCACCAUCGCAUUACAUCGCCGUGACCGGGGGGAAUUGACCUUGUCGCAGGGAAGGAGAUCGUGCUGCCAUGGAAAUUGCGGCCACACCAUCACCCAGCUCUCGGCGUGUGUUUUGGGGUUCGACCGAGGCGCGUGGGUGUGCGAACCUCCGGGAAGGAAGUGUGCGGUGUGACCCGAAUUUCUCGUUGCUAAUUGAGCGGUGCCGCUGGUCCGCGACUCAACGGGAGCCACGACCUCUACCCCAUAAAACCCGGUGAAGAGCAGGUGGUCGAAGAGGAGCCGCCCUACAAUGAAACAUACGAGUUGAUCUAGGUGGCGUCUCCCAGUCAGCUUUGUGGCGCCAGAGAAUAAAAUUUAGUUCGCUUUAUUAUUAUCAUUUAUUUUUGUAAGACUUCCAUUAUGUAAUAAUGACACUUAUGUUAGUUGUGACAUUUAUCACUA